GAUCUUGAAGCUAACCUAUUUAAGGUAUUUCCCUUUCAUCUUCAAUGUCGGAAUCCCCAAAUGGUUAUAGAAAAUAAAAAGGCACAAUCUUCUAUAUGUUAGGAAUGCAUGCCAUUUCAUUUUCUUUUAAUGGUUGUAGUGGGGUGAUUGUGUCGAAACUAAUUACUUUUGAGAAAAAAAUGGAUUUGCCUUAUAAAUCAUUAUUAUAAGAUUGUAUAUGUAGCUCAUGGAGCGGCGGGGGUAUGGGGAAGAGUACAUCAAUCGCUACAAGAUGAUGACAAGAUUUCAUCAUCAAAGAGUGCCAUUGGUAAUUCUUGUUUGUGGAACUGCAUGU
rnacentral:misc_RNA from 1 species